AAGGGUUGGGUUUUCUUCUUGCUUGAAAUUGAGAUAGUAUAUUGUAAAUGGACAGAAAGACCCUGAAACCAUAACAUUUCUCUUUGUUCAAGCAUUAGGGCCAGCUUUACUUUAGGCCAAGCUCUAAGUGGCACCAGCUGGGCACAGUCUGGGUGUGCAGAGGUGACAAAUGGCUGGGAAAUGGCAAAGCCACUCUGGCAUGAGCUGGGGGGGAAGAGCUGCAGGGAUUGGUGACCCCCUGUGGCACCAGCUCCAGGCUUCCCUUGGCAAUCUGGCAAAAUCAACAUAUACUGUUUUACUUAGUGAGAGUGGAGUGUUUACAAUAUUGCAACAUCUAUGGAUAAUCCAUUCUAUUCAUUUCAUGUUGAUGCCUUAGGAUUGUAGCUUGUUUAUUUUCCAUGUAUUUGUAACCUGCAAUUGUUCAGUGUACAGCUCCAAACCCCACACACAGUGUGAGCUGCUGCUUUCCCACUUUGGGCAGACACAGCAAUUCCUCUCCAGGCUGGGAAUCAAGGACACCUCACUGCCUCAGGGCCCAGAGAUGGAAACAAAAGAAUGAAGUUCUGUGCAUUUGUGAAGCUCUUCAGAAAUUCCCUUUAGGAAUGGCUUGGUGACUUAGCUUGCUUGUAGUAUUGCAGGUGUCUACAGGAAGAUAAAAUCAUCCCCAUAAUCACAGAAGCUGGGCCUCCACUGGUGGUUUAAAGGAACUGUUCUGUGAGUGACACGUGCAGUUUUGACCAGACAUCCUGCAAUCAGUGACUGCUAUUAAAUACACCUCUGUGAUGC